rnacentral:rRNA from 1 species
CGGGCCCCGCACAAGCAGCGGAGCGUGUGGUUUAAUUCGUUGCUACACGAAGUAACCUUACCUGGGUUUGACAUAUAGGUUGUAGGGAACUGAAAAGGGACCGACCCUUCGGGGAGCCUAUACAGGUGUUGCAUGGCUGUCGUCAGCUCGUGUCGUGAGAUGUUCGGUUAAGUCCGCUAACGAGCGCAACCCUCGUCGUAUGUUAUAUGUGUCAUACGAGACUGCCGGUAAAAGCCGGAGGAAGGUGAGGAUGAUGUCAAGUCAGCAUGACCUUUAUAUCCAGGGCUACACACACGCUACAAUGGUCUGUACAAUGGGUAGCCAAGCCGCGAGGCGGAGCCAAUCCUGAAAGCAGGCCUCAGUUCAGAUUGCAGUCUGCAACUCGACUGCAUGAAGCCGGAGUUGCUAGUAACCGCAGGUCAGCAAUACUGCGGUGAAUACGUUCCCGGGUCUU